UACGUGGUACCGAUUGACUGUGACAAU
rnacentral:piRNA from 1 species